CCUACGGGAGGCAGCAGUGAGGAAUAUUGGUCAAUGGUCGGGAGACUGAACCAGCCAAGCCGCGUGAGGGAUGAAGGUACAGAGUAUCGUAAACCUCUUUUGUCAGGGAACAAAGGCGGGGACGUGUCCCCGGCUGAGUGUACCUGAAGAAAAAGCAUCGGCUAACUCCGUGCCAGCAGCCGCGGUAAUACGGAGGAUGCGAGCGUUAUCCGGAUUUAUUGGGUUUAAAGGGUGCGCAGGCGGUCUGUUAAGUCAGCGGUCAAAGCCCGGGGCUCAACCCCGGCCCGCCGUUGAAACUGGCAGUCUCGAGUUGGAGAGAAGUAGGCGGAAUGCGCGGUGUAGUGGUGAAAUGCAUAGAUAUCGCGCAGAACUCCGAUUGCGAAGGCAGCAUGCCGGCUCCACACUGACGCUGAGGCACGAAAGCGUGGGUAUCGAACAGGAUUAGAUACCCGAGUAGUC
rnacentral:rRNA from 1 species